rnacentral:rRNA from 1 species
AUGCUUCUGGGUGCUUGGGGUGGUCAUGCCGGUGAUGGUGAAUUCUCUUCCAAAAGUGCUUACAAGCACUGCUUCAACAAUCUUCAGCAUCCACCAAGGCAAAGGCCUAACAUUGUUCCUAUGCAGGUCAUUUCCUUUGUUAAUCAGGUGUGGGAGGAUAAGCAAAUGGCACCAAGAAUUCGGACAUUCGCUUGGAGGCUUCUUAGGAAAGCACUUCCUACGGGUAAGAGGGCAUGUAGGCCUUCCCAGGUGUAUCAUGCAGCAAAUGCAAUAAUUCAAGCAACCAAUUUAGAAGAUAAGAAUUUCGCUCAACAACAAGAAAACGAUAAAGCUCAAGCGCAGUUGCAGGCUUCUUCAACAACCACGCAUACACAUGAAUGUAAUAACCUUGCAAGGAAUGUCAUCUUUUGCGACACAGCCUAG